rnacentral:rRNA from 1 species
CAGGCUUAACACAUGCAAGUCGAGGGGCAUCAGGAAGAAAGCUUGCUUUCUUUGCUGGCGACCGGCGCACGGGUGAGUAACACGUAUCCAACCUGCCCUUUACUCGGGGAUAGCCUUUCGAAAGAAAGAUUAAUACCCGAUAGCAUAAUGAUUCCGCAUGGUUUCAUUAUUAAAGGAUUCCGGUAAAGGAUGGGGAUGCGUUCCAUUAGGUUGUUGGUGAGGUAACGGCUCACCAAGCCUUCGAUGGAUAGGGGUUCUGAGAGGAAGGUCCCCCACAUUGGAACUGAGACACGGUCCAAACUCCUACGGGAGGCAGCAGUGAGGAAUAUUGGUCAAUGGGCGGUAGCCUGAACCAGCCAAGUAGCGUGAAGGAUGAAGGCUCUAUGGGUCGUAAACUUCUUUUAUAUAAGAAUAAAGUGCAGUAUGUAUACUGUUUUGUAUGUAUUAUAUGAAUAAGGAUCGGCUAACUCCGUGCCAGCAGCCGCGGUAAUACGGAGGAUCCGAGCGUUAUCCGGAUUUAUUGGGUUUAAAGGGAGCGUAGGUGGACUGGUAAGUCAGUUGUGAAAGUUUGCGGCUCAACCGUAAAAUUGCAGUUGAUACUGUCAGUCUUGAGUACAGUAGAGGUGGGCGGAAUUCGUGGUGUAGCGGUGAAAUGCUUAGAUAUCACGAAGAACUCCGAUUGCGAAGGCAGCUCACUGGACUGCAACUGACACUGAUGCUCGAAAGUGUGGGUAUCAAACAGGAUUAGAUACCCUGGUAGUCCACACAGUAAACGAUGAAUACUCGCUGUUUGCGAUAUACAGUAAGCGGCCAAACGAAAGCAUUAAGUAUUCCACCUGGGGAGUACGCCGGCAACGGUGAAACUCAAAGGAAUUGACGGGGGCCCGCACAAGCGGAGGAACAUGUGGUUUAAUUCGAUGAUACGCGAGGAACCUUACCCGGGCUUAAAUUGCAGUGGAAUGAUGUGGAAACAUGUCAGUGAGCAAUCACCGCUGUGAAGGUGCUGCAUGGUUGUCGCCAGCUCGUGCCGUGAGGUGUCGGCUUAAGUGCCAUAACGAGCGCAACCCUUAUCUUUAGUUACUAACAGGUUAUGCUGAGGACUCUAGAGAGACUGCCGUCGUAAGAUGUGAGGAAGGUGGGGAUGACGUCAAAUCAGCACGGCCCUUACGUCCGGGGCUACACACGUGUUACAAUGGGGGGUACAGAAGGCAGCUAGCGGGUGACCGUAUGCUAAUCCCAAAAUCCUCUCUCAGUUCGGAUCGAAGUCUGCAACCCGACUUCGUGAAGCUGGAUUCGCUAGUAAUCGCGCAUCAGCCACGGCGCGGUGAAUACGUUCCCGGGCCUUGUACACACCGCCCGUCAAGCCAUGGGAGCCGGGGGUACCUGAAGUACGUAACCGCAAGGAUCGUCCUAGGGUAAAACUGGUGACUGGGGCUAAGU